rnacentral:lncRNA from 1 species
AGAAACAUAAAAUACAAUUUUCAGAAUUUUAAAAUGCACAAAAGUAUUUUUAAACUAAUUAAAACAAAGGAGAAAAGAUAAAAUUCAUGAAAAUAAGGAAAUCAAUGAAAUAAAAUAUGGAAAAAUAAAAAGUUAGAUGAAGAAAAAUAAAAGAGAAUUUUAGAAAUUAUUUUGGGAUUUUUUGGAUGGAAAAUGAAAUUACUAUGAACUUUUAAAGAUAGAGCAAUUAAAAAUAAUAAAAGAAAAAG